rnacentral:rRNA from 1 species
UCAGGUGGUUAUUGCGGUGGGGGCCCACCUCUUCCCAUUCCGAACAGAGAAGUUAAGCCCACUUGCGCCGAUGGUACUGCAAUGCAAUGCGGGAGAGUAGGUAGCCGCCUCCU